rnacentral:rRNA from 1 species
UACGAAGGGGGCUAGCGUUGUUCGGAUUUACUGGGCGUAAAGCGCACAUAGGCGGAUCGUUAAGUCGGGGGUGAAAUCCUGGAGCUCAACUCCAGAACUGCCUUCGAUACUGGCGAUCUCGAGUCCGGAAGAGGUGAGUGGAACUCCUAGUGUAGAGGUGGAAUUCGUAGAUAUUAGGAAGAACACCAGUGGCGAAGGCGGCUCACUGGUCCGGUACUGACGCUCAGGCGCGAUAGCGUGGGGAUCAAACAGG